ACGAACGCUGGCGGCGUGCUUCACCCAUGCCAGUCGCACGGAAAGGCCCUGCUUUUGUGGGGUGCUCGAGUGGCGAACGGGUGAGUAACACGUGAGUAACCUGCCCUUGACUUUGGGAUAACUUCAGGAAACUGGGGCUAAUACCGGAUAGGAGCUCCUGCUGCCUGGUGGGGGUUGGAAAGUUUCGGCGGUUGGGGAUGGACUCGCGGCUUAUCAGCUUGUUGGUGGGGUAGUGGCUUACCAAGGCUUUGACGGGUAGCCGGCCUGAGAGGGUGACCGGCCACAUUGGGACUGAGAUACGGCCCAGACUCCUACGGGAGGCAGCAGGGGGGAAUAGUGCACAAUGGGCGGAAGCCUGAUGCAGCAACGCCGCGUGCGGGAUGACGGCCUUCGGGUUGUAAACCGCUUUCGCCUGUGACGAAGCGUGAGUGACGGGAAUGGGUAAAGAAGCACCGGCUAACGACG
rnacentral:rRNA from 1 species